rnacentral:rRNA from 1 species
AUUGAACGCUGGCGGCAUGCUUUACACAUGCAAGUCGAACGGUAACAGGCCGCAAGGUGCUGACGAGUGGCGAACGGGUGAGUAAUGCAUCGGAACGUGCCCAGUCGUGGGGGAUAACGCAGCGAAAGCUGUGCUAAUACCGCAUACGAUCUGUGGAUGAAAGCGGGGGACCUUCGGGCCUCGCGCGAUUGGAGUGGCCGAUGUCAGAUUAGGUAGUUGGUGGGGUAAAGGCUCACCAAGCCGACGAUCUGUAGCUGGUCUGAGAGGACGACCAGCCACACUGGGACUGAGACACGGCCCAGACUCCUACGGGAGGCAGCAGUGGGGAAUUUUGGACAAUGGGCGCAAGCCUGAUCCAGCAAUGCCGCGUGCAGGAAGAAGGCCUUCGGGUUGUAAACUGCUUUUGUGCGGAGCGAAAAGGCUCCCUCUAAUACAGGGGGCUCAUGACGGUACCGUAAGAAUAAGCACCGGCUAACUACGUGCCAGCCGCCGCCGUAAUAC